rnacentral:rRNA from 1 species
GACGAACGCUGGCGGCGUGCUUAACACAUGCAAGUCGAGCGGUAAGGCCCUUUCGGGGGUACGACGAGCGGCGAACGGGUGAGUAACACGUGGGUGACCUGCCCUCAGCUCUGGGAUAAGCCCGGGAAACUGGGUCUAAUACUGGAUAUUACUCUGCGGUGCAUGCCGUGGGGUGGAAANCCUUGUGCGGCUGGGGAUGGGCCCGCGGCCUAUCAGCUUGUUGGUGGGGGUGAUGGCCCACCAAGGCGACGACGGGUAGCCGGCCUGAGAGGGCGACCGGCC